rnacentral:rRNA from 1 species
CAGUCGCCGCGGUAAUACGUAGGGUGCGAGCGUUAAUCGGAAUUACUGGGCGUAAAGCGUGCGCAGGCGGUUCGUUAAGACAGAUGUGAAAUCCCCGGGCUUAACCUGGGAACUGCAUUUGUAACUGGCGAGCUAGAGUAUGGCAGAGGGGGGUAGAAUUCCACGUGUAGCAGUGAAAUGCGUAGAGAUGUGGAGGAAUACCGAUGGCGAAGGCAGCCCCCUGGGCCAAUACUGACGCUCAUGCACGAAAGCGUGGGGAGCAAACAGGAUUAGAUACCCCCGUAGUCCCUGUCUCUUAUAC